GAGUGCUGAGGGCAAAAGCUUUACAAGGGAAGAACAUCAUCCUCGAAACAGACUGCAAAUCGGCUUUCCUCCGACUCUUAAGUAGUGAGUCUGAUAGAUCUCUCAUUGGAGGAAUCAUUCAAGAUAUCAAGAACAUCCUCCUCACGUUCGAUCAAGUGAAGUUCAGUUGGACUAGACGAAUAGCUAACACCACUGCUGAUUGUUUAGCCAAAUUUGCAUUGCUCCAUUCAAAAAAUAUGUCUUUUGUAAGGGCUCUGCCCAACUCUAUUUGCUUCCCAGGUUUGGGCUAAUAUAUUUGUUCUUU
rnacentral:lncRNA from 1 species